CCCAAUCCACACUGAGCCCACACUUGAAAAGACCUGGAUCUUAUCAAAGCUCUGGGUCUUACCAGGUAUUUAAUUGAUUCGGGACAAAGCAGGGUUUACGGGCUUUUAAUUUGAGUUUAUCAGAGGCAUCAUUUGGACACCUCUGAUAAAACUAAGACAGGUCUCGGGUUAAAGACCUGUCUGGAUGGGCCCUAAGCUUAGGAUGUUGAAGAGAUAGCUUGGCUUUUUUCUGUCCCUGAUGUCAAAGUUGAUUGAUACAAUUGUCAUGUGUUUAAGCACACUUUGCAAAUGCUUAAGCAGCUGCUACAUUAACACUUGGAUUGGAACCUUAGAUUGUUAACUGGUAUUUGCCAAUUUUAAUUAAUAAGAAAAAUGUUAACGAUUAGUAGGGAUAGCCUUUAUUAUUCCAUCCCACUCUCAAUAUCUUAGUUUAAAGGCUACUCUGUUUCCCCAUUUCAAAAGAGCAACAGUAUGGAGCAAAAUAAAAAUUCUUGUUCCCUCUUUAGGCAAAAUGUUGGUUUAUUGACAGAUUGUUUAUUUUUUCUGUCAACAAUAAUUCUUCAAUACAAUGUUUCUCAAAUCAUUAGAAAUAUAUUGGAAUGACAAUACUUCUCAGUAGUAGCUUAAAGAGCUUGGCAUGUUUAGCCUGCAGAAGAGAAGGCUGAGAGGAGACAUGAUAGCCAUGUACAAAUAUGUGAGGGGAAGUCAUAGGGAGGAGGGAGAUGUUGACAAGCUGGAAAGCGUCCAGAGGAGGGCAACUAAAAUGAUCAAAGGUCUGGAGAACAAGCCCUAUGAGGAGAGGCUUAAAGAACUGGGCAUGUUUAGCCUGCAGAAGAGAAGGCUGAGAGGAGACAUGAUAGCCAUGUACAAAUAUGUGAGGGGAAGUCAUAGGGAGGAGGGAGCAAGCUUGUUUUCUGCUGCCCUGCAGACUAGGACACGGAACAAUGGCUUCAAACUACAGGAAAGGAGAUUCCACCUGAACAUUAGGAAGAACUUCCUCACUGUGAGGGCUGUUCGGCAGUGGAACUCUCUUCCCCGGACUGUGGUGGAGGCUCCUUCUUUGGAGGCUUUUAAACAGAGGCUGGAUGGCCAUCUGUCGGGGGUGCUUUGAAUGCGAUUUCCUGCUUCUUGGCAGGGGGUUGGACUGGAUGGCCCAUGAGGUCUCUUCCAACUCUACUAUUCUAUGAUUCUAUGAUUCUAAUAUGAGCCUUUUAGAGACCACUGGAAAUUGUCUUUCAAAAUACAUCCAGGGAACAUGUAUUCUUUCACUUGCUUACACUUUUGUUAAGAUUUUCAUUUUGGUGGGCAAACGUAUAGAGCUAUGCUUUUUUAACCUGUUGUGGGGAGCUGAUGAAUCCGGCUUCUUUGGUUCCUGCUUUUCUAUUUUGCUGCUCAUGCAUUCAGUAAGGGAUUCUGGAAUCAGCUGCUGUUUACCUUAUAAGGCUUACGCAGGAACACACAGACUGAAGUGAUGGGCAUUUUGCACUUGAUCUUUUCAUACAAGCAGGUUAUCAGUUCAAGAUCCUGUUCACAAGUGAACUGCAUGCACAUGUGAAGGGUUAUUGAAUCAUAGAACCUCAGACCCAACAGAGAUCAUGAAUGCCUUCUGUCUAUCUCUGGCAAUCUAUUCCACUGUCAAACAGUACUUUACAUAAAAUGUUAAGAUGAAGCCUGUUGUCUUGCAAUUUGAACUCAUUGAUUUGUUUUCUAGUCUCUGGAGCAGCAGAAAUAUCUCAACAGGGUGUCAUGUCACAGAUUUUACAUGACAUCUCUUGAGAUAUUUAAAGAUUGCUAUCAUAUUAUCUCUCAGUCUUCUCCAAGCUAAGCAUAUCAUGCU
ensembl:lncRNA